UGUUUUCUUUUUUUUUUUUUUUUUUUUUUUUUUUUUUUUUUUUUGCGUGUAUAUGUUUCUAUUAUGCAAUUAGUGAACAAACACAUGGUGGUUGCAAUUUGCAACUACACAUUCUUUAACUCUUCAGUUUCUCUUCUACUCAGACCCCACCUCCUUACUCUUCACAAGCCCUAAAUCAUCUAUCAAAUUUUUUAAUCUACAAGUUAAUUUGAUGAUAUAGUGAAUGUUCAAGUUACAGAUGUUAUUGAAGAUCUAUCAAGGCCUAAUUUGAAGAGAGAAUCUGGAUGCAGAGAUAUUUGACUACCGUUGGUUCCUGAUAAAGCAAAGGGGCUAAAGCUAUGAAUUAAUCUAUUUUUGUACUUUAUUCUUUAUUGUGGUUGGGAGUAUGGAGUUUAGGGGUUGAGAUUACUAUUUGAAGCGCAGGUUUUGGCAAUCUGUUCCAAAAUUACUUCGAUUCUUAUACUGGUACAUGUAACUAAGCUUGAGACACUUGUAUGUUAUUUGCUAAACUACUGAUGCUUGAUUGAUGUAUUUUAGAGAGUUUUUGAGUCAACAUUUGCUAGAAGAAAGUCUAUUCUAAAGGAAUGGUUCUCAAAGAAGUACAAGCAGCUCACACUCAAGUGAUUAAAUGCGGUUUGUUGCUCAGAUUGACAAUUAUUAUCAGCCUUCUUGAUUUUACUUUUGUAAACAUCAUAGUUUGGUUAUGAUAUUUGUUGUUUUUUUUUUUUCUACUAGCAGUAGACCCUAGACCACAUACCAUAAACGUCAUAGUGGUAGCAACCAGCUGGUACAUCAAUCUUUAUUCAAUCUACUUUUACACUUAUUAUCUAAUUAGAAAAUUAUAUAUAUUGAUAGCGUAAUACGUAGAAGACACUUUUAUCUUAUUGUAUGUCUCUUUUGCUAUAUAUUCAAGGUCACCUAAGACCCGCUAAUGCAUACAUAUUUCUAAAAGGAAACGCCUCAAAUUGGCUUGGUUAACCUACUUGAUGAUUGUGUUGUGCGUGUAUGUGUGUAGAUGUAUGCAAUGUGUGUGCCAGUUACGUUUGGGUUUUUCAAAAUCACAUGUGAAGCAGUAACGAGCAGACUGUUACAUCUCUUCCACAUGUGGUAGAAAAUUCUUACUGGAACCAUAAGGCGAGAGGCUUUUGUUACCAGAUCGUUUCUUCUCUCUGCAUGAUUCCUCCCGCCUUCUUCAACUUGUGAAGUUCUAUUUGAACAUGUGGUUGCUGGCCAGAUUGGUGUCAUAAGAUUACUGAGAUAUUUUGGCAGAGCAAACUUUCUGCGACCUAGACUAGGGUUCCGGUGAGGUUCAAAUCAAAUUCCGCUGAGUCCUAUUUCUUAUGCAUAUCUCAUUUACUUUGAUGUGGGUGUUAUUUCGAAGGAAUUUGUUGUCAUCGUUUGAAACACAUGGGAUAUUGCUAAAGAGGACCCACAAUUAGAAGUAGAUGGUGAUAUGGUGAAGAUAUCAUAUUUUUACUAUUUUCUUUGUACCGAGACGAAAAUUCUAGCGUUUGAUUGUAAGAAAUAUAACACUCACGUCCUGUCUCGGCAUGCUUCCCGCC